UACGGAGGGUGCAAGCGUUAAUCGGAAUUACUGGGCGUAAAGCGCGCGUAGGCGGUUUUUUAAGUCGGAUGUGAAAGCCCCGGGCUCAACCUGGGAACUGCAUCCGAUACUGGAAGACUAGAAUGCGNGAGAGGGAGGUAGAAUUCCAUGUGUAGCAGUGAAAUGCGUAGAUAUAUGGAGGAAUACCAGUGGCGAAGGCGGCCUCCUGGCUCGACGUUGACGCUGAGGUGCGAAAGCGUGGGGAGCAAACGGG
rnacentral:rRNA from 1 species